UUCCCCGGUAGCUCAGCGGUAGAGCAACCGGCUGUUAACCGGUUGGUCGCUGGUUCGAAUCCGGCCCGGGGAGCCAC
rnacentral:tRNA from 1 species